UGGUCAGCUAUCAAGCUCUAACAAAGUGU
rnacentral:piRNA from 1 species